CAAAUAGGGGAAAAGAAACCAACAGGGAUUGCCUUAGUAGCGGCGAGUGAAGCGGCAAAAGCUCAAAUUUGAAAUCUGGCGCCUUCGGUGUCCGAGUUGUAAUUUGAAGAUUGUAACCUUGGGGUUGGCUCUUGUCUAUGUUUCUUGGAACAGGACGUCACAGAGGGUGAGAAUCCCGUGCGAUGAGAUGCCCAAUUCUAUGUAAGGUGCUUUCGAAGAGUCGAGUUGUUUGGGAAUGCAGCUCUAAGUGGGUGGUAAAUUCCAUCUAAAGCUAAAUAUUGGCGAGAGACCGAUAGCGAACAAGUACAGUGAUGGAAAGAUGAAAAGAACUUUGAAAAGAGAGUGAAAAAGUACGUGAAAUUGUUGAAAGGGAAGGGUUUGAGAUCAGACUCGAUAUUUUGUGAGCCUUGCCUUCGUGGCGGGGUGACCCGCAGCUUAUCGGGCCAGCAUCGGUUUGGGCGGUAGGAUAAUGGCGUAGGAAUGUGACUUUACUUCGGUGAAGUGUUAUAGCCUGCGUUGAUGCUGCCUGCCUAGACCGAGGACUGCGAUUUUAUCAAGGAUGCUGGCAUAAUGAUCCCAAACCGCCCGCUAAAAAACGGGGGG
rnacentral:rRNA from 1 species